rnacentral:rRNA from 1 species
AACGAACGCUGGCGGCAUGCCUAACACAUGCAAGUCGAACGAGACCUUCGGGUCUAGUGGCGCACGGGUGCGUAACGCCUUGGAACCUGCCCUUAGGUUCGGAAUAACUCCCCGAAAGGGGUGCUAAUACCGGGUAAUGUCUUCGGACCAAAGAGUUAUCGCCAUUGGAUGGGCCCGCGUUGGAUUAGCUAGUUGGUAGGGUAAAAGCCUACCAAGGCGACGAUCCAUAGCUGGUCUGAGAGGAUGAUCAGCCACACUGGGACUGAGACACGGCCCAGACUCCUACGGGAGGCAGCAGUGGGGAAUAUUGGACAAUGGGGGAAAGCCUGAUCCAGCAAUGCCGCGUGAGUGAUGAAGGCCUUAGGGUUGUAAAGCUCUUUUACACGGGAUGAUAAUGACAGUACCGGGAGAAUAAGCUCCGGCUAACUCCGUG